GCCUACAGCCAUCCCACCCUGGUAAUGCUUGAUCUCAUCUGAUCUCAGAAGCUAAGCAGGGUCAGGCCUGGUAAGUACUUGGAUAGGAGACCUCCUGGGAAUAGCAGGUGCUGUAGGCU
rnacentral:rRNA from 1 species